rnacentral:rRNA from 1 species
CCGGAGCUUGCUCCACCGGAAAAAGAAGAGUGGCGAACGGGUGAGUAACACGUGGGUAACCUGCCCAUCAGAAGGGGAUAACACUUGGAAACAGGUGCUAAUACCGUAUAACAAUCGAAACCGCAUGGUUUUGAUUUGAAAGGCGCUUUCGGGUGUCGCUGAUGGAUGGACCCGCGGUGCAUUAGCUAGUUGGUGAGGUAACGGCUCACCAAGGCCACGAUGCAUAGCCGACCUGAGAGGGUGAUCGGCCACAUUGGGACUGAGACACGGCCCAAACUCCUACGGGAGGCAGCAGUAGGGAAUCUUCGGCAAUGGACGAAAGUCUGACCGAGCAACGCCGCGUGAGUGAAGAAGGUUUUCGGAUCGUAAAACUCUGUUGUUAGAGAAGAACAAGGAUGAGAGUAACUGUUCAUCCCUUGACGGUAUCUAACCAGAAAGCCACGGCUAACUACGUGCCCAGCAGCCGCGGUAAUACGUAGGUGGCAAGCGUUGUCCGGAUUUAUUGGGCGUAAAGCGAGCGCAGGCGGUUUCUUAAGUCUGAUGUGAAAGCCCCCGGCUCAACCGGGGAGGGUCAUUGGAAACUGGGAGACUUGAGUGCAGAAGAGGAGAGUGGAAUUCCAUGUGUAGCGGUGAAAUGCGUAGAUAUAUGGAGGAACACCAGUGGCGAAGGCGGCUCUCUGGUCUGUAACUGACGCUGAGGCUCGAAAGCGUGGGGAGCAAACAGGAUUAGAUACCCUGGUAGUCCACGCCGUAAACGAUGAGUGCUAAGUGUUGGAGGGUUUCCGCCCUUCAGUGCUGCAGCUAACGCAUUAAGCACUCCGCCUGGGGAGUACGACCGCAAGGUUGAAACUCAAAGGAAUUGACGGGGGCCCGCACAAGCGGUGGAGCAUGUGGUUUAAUUCGAAGCAACGCGAAGAACCUUACCAGGUCUUGACAUCCUUUGACCACUCUAGAGAUAGAGCUUCCCCUUCGGGGGCAAAGUGACAGGUGGUGCAUGGUUGUCGUCAGCUCGUGUCGUGAGAUGUUGGGUUAAGUCCCGCAACGAGCGCAACCCUUAUUGUUAGUUGCCAUCAUUCAGUUGGGCACUCUAGCAAGACUGCCGGUGACAAACCGGAGGAAGGUGGGGAUGACGUCAAAUCAUCAUGCCCCUUAUGACCUGGGCUACACACGUGCUACAAUGGGAAGUACAACGAGUCGCGAAGUCGCGAGGCUAAGCUAAUCUCUUAAAGCUUCUCUCAGUUCGGAUUGUAGGCUGCAACUCGCCUACAUGAAGCCGGAAUCGCUAGUAAUCGCGGAUCAGCACGCCGCGGUGAAUACGUUCCCGGGCCUUGUACACACCGCCCGUCACACCACGAGAGUUUUAACACCCGAAGUCGGUGAGGUAACCUUUGAGCCAGC